ACUACAUGAAGCUGGAAUCGCUAGUAAUCGCGAAUCAGAAUGUCGCGGUGAAUACGUUCCCGGGUCUUGUACACACCGCCCGUCACACCAUGGGAGUCAGUAACGCCCGAAGCCGGUGACCUAACCGAAAGGGAGGAGCCGUCGAAGGUGGGACCGAUAACUGGGGUGAAGUCGUAACAAGGUACC
rnacentral:rRNA from 1 species